UAACACGUGGGCAACCUGCCCUGCAGACUGGGAUAACAUCGGGAAACCGGAGCUAAUACCGGAUAACACCGAAAACCGCAUGGUUUUCGGUUGAAAGGCGGCUUUUAGCUGUCACUGCAGGAUGGGCCCGCGGCGCAUUAGCUAGUUGGUGAGGUAACGGCUCACCAAGGCGACGAUGCGUAGCCGACCUGAGAAGGGUGACCGGCCACACUGGGACUGAGACACGGCCCAGACUCCUACGGGAGGCAGCAGUAGGGAAUCUUCCGCAAUGGACGAAAGUCUGACGGAGCAACGCCGCGUGAGCGAAGAAAGGUCUUCGGGAUCGUAAAGCUCUGUUGUCAGGGAAGAACAAGUACCGUUCGAACAGGGCGGUACCUUGACGGUACCUGACGAGGAAGCCACGGCUAACUACGUGCCAGCAGCCGCGGUAAUACGUAGGUGGCAAGCGUUGUCCGGAAUUAUUGGGCGUAAAGCGCGCGCAGGCGGUUUCUUAAGUCUGAUGUGAAAGCUCGCGGCUCAACCGGGGAGCGGUCAUUGGAAACUGGGGAACUUGAGUGCAGAAGAGGAGAGUGGAAUUCCACGUGUAGCGGUGAAAUGCGUAGAGAUGUGGAGGAACACCAGUGGCGAAGGCGACUCUCUGGUCUGUAACUGACGCUGAGGCGCGAAAGCGUGGGGAGCGAACAGGAUUAGAUACCCUGGUAGUCCACGCCGUAAACGAUGAGUGCUAAGUGUUAGAGGGUUUCCGCCCUUUAGUGUGUAGAGAAAAACGCAUUAAGCACUCCGCCUGGGGAGUACGGUCGCAAGACUGAAACUCAAAGGAAUUGACGGGGGCCCGCACAAGCGGUGGAGCAUGUGGUUUA
rnacentral:rRNA from 1 species